rnacentral:ncRNA from 1 species
CUAUCUUUGCCGCGCAUUGGUUUGCGACUCCCAUGCGGGGGAAGCAAUUAAAAGGGAAUCAGGUGCAAGUCCUGAACAGUCCCGCUGCUGUAAGUUCCAUACCAAGUUACAAGCAAUUCACUCAUUGCCACUGGAAACCAAUCCGGGAAGGCGUUUGUAACAGGAACAAGUCAGAAGACCUGCCAUGCAAAUAAGUUUCAC